GUGGAUUAGAUACCCUAGUAGUCCACGCCGUAAGCGAUGAUAACUAGCUGUCCGGGCACUUGGUGCUUGGGUGGCGCAGCUAACGCAUUAAGUUAUCCGCCUGGGGAGUACGGUCGCAAGAUUAAAACUCAAAGGAAUUGACGGGGGCCUGCACAAGCGGUGGAGCAUGUGGUUUAAUUCGAAGCAACGCGCAGAACCUUACCAGCGUUUGACAUGCCAAGUUUGGUUUCCAGAGAUGGAUUCCUUCAGUUCGGCUGGCUUGGACACAGGUGCUGCACGGCCGUCGCCAACU
rnacentral:rRNA from 1 species